rnacentral:ncRNA from 2 species
UUUCUCGUCCAGGGGAGUUCGCAGCAAGCGAACUGAGAGGGCGCGUUAGGCCGCGCCGACCCUUUUCACCUGAUCCGGAUAAUACCGGCGUAGGGAGCGGACUAUCAUGCCCC